rnacentral:piRNA from 1 species
GGUUUCUCUGUGUAGCCUUGUCAGUUCUG